rnacentral:tRNA from 1 species
GUCGCAAUGGUGUAGUUGGGAGCAUGACAGACUGAAGAUCUGUUGGUCAUCGGUUCGAUCCCGGUUUGUGACACCA